rnacentral:rRNA from 1 species
AUUGAACGCUGGCGGCAGGCCUAACACAUGCAAGUCGAGCGAGCGGCGGACGGGUGAGUAAUGUAUGGGGACUGCCCGAUAGAGGGGGAUAACUACUGGAAACGGUGGCUAAUACCGCAUACUAUCGGAUAACCCAUAUGGGAGUAGCUAGUCGGUGGGGUAAAGGCUCACCUAGGCGACGAACUCUAGCUGGUCUGAGAGGAUGAUCAGCAACACUGGGACUGCGACACGGCCCAGACUCCUACGGAGGCAGCAGUGGGGAAUAUUGGACAAUGGGCGCAAGCCUGCUGCAGCACCGCCGCGUGUAUGAAGAAGGCCUUAGGGUUGUAAAGUACUUUCAGCAGUGAGGCGUUACCCGCAGAAGAAGCACCGGCUAACUCCGGGCCAGCAGCCGCGGUAAUAC